rnacentral:rRNA from 1 species
UACGUAGGGUGCAAGCGUUGUCCGGAAUUAUUGGGCGUAAAGAGCUCGUAGGCGGUUCGUCACGUCGGCUGUGAAAUCCCGAGGCUCAACCUCGGGUCUGCAGUCGAUACGGGCGGACUGGAGUACUGCAGGGGAGACUGGAAUUCCUGGUGUAGCGGUGAAAUGCGCAGAUAUCAGGAGGAACACCGGUGGCGAAGGCGGGUCUCUGGGCCGAUAUUGACGCUGAGGAGCGAAAGCGUGGGGAGCAAACAGG